CAAUUACAUACAUAUGAAUUCUCCUAUUUACAAUGAUAAUGAUAAUGUUACAGUUAUAUAGGAUUUACAGAUACGUAAUACGUGUGUUUCCUAGUCAGUUAGCAGUGAUUUACUUUUCUCUUUACGACUAUCCAUAGCCAAUGACCCUAUAUUCAUAGAACUCAUCUCUGUGUGAUGGAGUUACUAAGAAAUAUAUUGGGUAGAUAACCAUACUAAGUUACAUUUAAU